rnacentral:rRNA from 1 species
UUUAGUGGCGACGGGUGAGUAACACGUGGGCAAUCUGCCCUUCACUCUGGGACAAGCCCUGGAAACGGGGUCUAAUACCGGAUAAUACUUUCCCUCUCAUGGGGGAAGGUUAAAAGCUCCGGCGGUGAAGGAUGAGCCCGCGGCCUAUCAGCUAGUUGGUGGGGUAAUGGCCUACCAAGGCGACGACGGGUAGCCGGCCUGAGAGGGCGACCGGCCACACUGGGACUGAGACACGGCCCAGACUCCUACGGGAGGCAGCAGUGGGGAAUAUUGCACAAUGGGCGAAAGCCUGAUGCAGCGACGCCGCGUGAGGGAUGACGGCCUUCGGGUUGUAAACCUCUUUCAGCAGGGAAGAAGCGAAAGUGACGGUACCUGCAGAAGAAGCGCCGGCUAACUACGUGCCAGCAGCCGCGGUAAUACGUAGGGCGCAAGCGUUGUCCGGAAUUAUUGGGCGUAAAGAGCUCGUAGGCGGCUUGUUGCGUCGGUUGUGAAAGCCCGGGGCUUAACCCCGGGUCUGCAGUCGAUACGGGCAGGCUAGAGUGUGGUAGGGGAGAUCGGAAUUCCUGGUGUAGCGGUGAAAUGCGCAGAUAUCAGGAGGAACACCGGUGGCGAAGGCGGAUCUCUGGGCCAUUACUGACGCUGAGGAGCGAAAGCGUGGGGAGCGAACAGGAUUAGAUACCCUGGUAGUCCACGCCGUAAACGUUGGGAACUAGGUGUUGGCGACAUUCCACGUCGUCGGUGCCGCAGCUAACGCAUUAAGUUCCCCGCCUGGGGGAGUACGGGCCGCAAAGGCUAAAACUCAAAGGG